CAUAUGUUUACAUUGAAUCUUUAUAGUUAUGAAAGUACCAGAAUAUGCUAGUUAGAGAGUUUUAGAAUAUGAAUAAGAACUUAUAAAGACGGAGCAAGUAAUCACACGUACGUAUGUAAUCUAUGUACGUACGUACGUGUCAUUACAACACAAUUCCGUCUUGAAUUGGGCAGAAUAUUUUCAGACUCGUGUAGAACUCGAAGGUUCAUUACCGUGUUCACAAGAGCUGGAGUUCACUACCCACCUAUGCACACUGCUAGACCCUUAUCUUGAGCCAGGAAAAUCCACUUAUCCCCACACCCAAUGAUUGUAAGUAGCUGCAUAGGGUUGCAUGUUCCUUAGGACUUUUAAAGCACUUGGGAAGAAAAUGUGUAGAGACUAAAAUCUGUCCUCGUUUUAGCUCUAACCAGUAUAUGAAAUACACCUCAUGCACAUGCCUUGGGGUUAUAUGCACCUUGGGUUGAGACACUGAUGUAGGAUUUAAUAAUGUGGCUUCUAUUCGCUGGCUCAGGUUAGAAUCAUGUCGCGGGAAUUAAUAAACAUUAUGGCAAUGAAUCUUCAGGUCCCAUCAAAACGUGAUAUUGUUCUUGGAGAACUGGGCAUCAGGUACUUUGAGUCCUGUUUCAGGGAAGGGCAUAUAUGGCCUAGAACCACGUAUUUGAACUUAUUAGUUACCUUAGACAAAUAUUUUUACGAUGUAGAAUAUUCCAUUAAAGUCAAAUAAAUUUGUAAAACAAUAUAAAAUUUAGGUUAGAGAGUUCUCAGUGUGCUUGCUUUUGUAUGCUUUCUUCUCUUUUUGAUUAUCGUAUAGAAACUUUUCAUACAUAAAGAGUAAUACAUAAACGCACCUUGCUGGCGUUUGAAACCACAGAUUAUUCGAAACUUUUAAGUUAUCGUCGUUGAAGAAUGCAAUGUUCUGUAAUCUGUGGUUGAUGACGUCAGGUACAGUUUAAAUUCUGCCAAUGAAAGUCUGUUUCUUCAACCAAUCAAAUUCUUGCCUCUCAAGGUAUUUAUAUAACGUGCAAGCGAAGGGCGAGUCUUAUAAGAUUUUAUUUUGUAUGAUGUGUAUGUAAUGUAAAUCAUAAAUAUGGACAGUUUUAUUCCUUCUAGCUACUGUAACGAUGUAAGCACAGCAGUUAAUAAUACUGUAACAACAUAUAUGGACAAAUUUGCAUCGAUUUGGAAAUAUUGUGGGUAUGACGAUUUAAAUAUACGGCAGAGAUGUGAGGUUGUGAAGCAACAUGUGCAUG